AAGUCAUAAUAAGGUUUCCGUAGGUGAACCUGCGGAAGGAUCAUUAACACGUAUCCAAACGAGUGAUUCAGAGACCUCUGGCUACGUGCGAACAUUGGAACAGUUACAAUCGAGCGGUAGUUCUAUAGGCAAUGUUUCCCCAAGCAGUCAGUGUCGGAAAGUGUCAUUGAUUGUGCAAUGAUAGCGCUUCUACGAUUCCUGUAGACCGUACACUCGGGCAGAGCUUUGCCAAAGGGUCCCCAUGCCCCAAUGUAAUACCUUGUGUAAAAAAACCGAACAACUGUUACCAAUGGAUAUCUUGGUUCUC
rnacentral:misc_RNA from 1 species